rnacentral:tRNA from 1 species
AGGCCGGUGGCGGAAAGAAUACGCACGGGAUUGCAACUCCCGGUAUCCAGGUUCAAGUCCUGGCUGGCCCUCCA